AACAUCGCGCACCUGCGGGAACCUGCGGACGGAUCAUUACUGAGUCACGUGCUCAAACAACCCUUCUGUGGACCUGAAAUAAAACCGUUGCCUCGGCGGGCGGUCCCCCCCAAACCAACCCCACGUGGUGGGUUAGGGGAGACCAGACAGUCCGGUACGCUUAAGGCGUCCGGCGCCAGCCGCUGGCCCCAAACAAUUAAACUCUAGUAAUCUUUACCUUCUGAGUUUCAAUAUUUAAAA
rnacentral:misc_RNA from 1 species